rnacentral:lncRNA from 1 species
AAGUCAGGCCAGAUUAAGCCAUAGUACGGAAAGAGCUAUGCUGCCUGUGAGCCCCGUCCAAGGACGUAAAAUGAAGUCAGGCCGAAAGCCACGGAUUGAGCAAGCCGUGCUGCCUGUGGCUCCAUCGUUGGGAUGUAAAAAACCGGGCGGCUGCAAACCAUGGAUGCUGUACGCAUGGGGUAGCAGACUAGUGGUUAGAGGCGCACCCUCCCUAGACACAACGCAGCAGCGGGGACACACACCACGGGAAGCUGCACCCUGGUGGUAAGGCCCAGAGG